rnacentral:rRNA from 1 species
UACGGAGGCAGCUAGCGUUAUUCGGAAUUACUGGGCGUAAAGCGCACGUAGGCGGAUAUUUAAGUCAGGGGUGAAAUCCCAGAGCUCAACUCUGGAACUGCCUCUGAUACUGGGUAUCUUGAGUAUGGAAGAGGUGAGUGGAAUUGCGAGUGUAGAGGUGAAAUUCGUAGAUAUUCGCAGGAACACCAGUGGCGAAGGCGGCUCACUGGUCCAUAACUGACGCUGAGGUGCGAAAGCGUGGGGAGCAAACAGG